rnacentral:rRNA from 1 species
CUGUUAUGGCUAGGGGGUCAUUGCGACUUACCAAACCAUUGCAAACUCCGAAUACCGAUGAGUGCGAGCUUGGGAGACAGACGUCGGGUGCUAACGUCCGGCGUCAAGAGGGAAACAACCCAGACCGCCAGCUAAGGUCCCAAAGAUUGGCUAAGUGGAAAACGAAGUGGGAAGGCUAAAACAGUCAGGAUGUUGGCUUAGAAGCAGCCAUCAUUUAAAGAAAGCGUAAUAGCUCACUGAUCGAGUCGUCCUGCGCGGAAGAUGUAACGGGGCUAAGCCAGUCACCGAAGCUGCGGAUAUGCGUAAGCAUAUGGUAGGAGAGCGUUCUGUAAGCCUGCGAAGGUGUCUUGUAAAGGAUGCUGGAGGUAUCAGAAGUGCGAAUGCUGACAUGAGUAGCGAUAAUGGGGGUGAAAAGCCUCCACGCCGUAAGCCCAAGGUUUCCUGUUCAACGUUCAUCGGAGCAGGGUGAGUCGGCCCCUAAGGCGAGGCAGAGAUGCGUAGCUGAUGGGAAGCAGGUUAAUAUUCCUGCACCGUCGUAUGAUGCGAUGGGGGGACGGAUCGCGGAAGGUUGUCUGACUGUUGGAAUAGUCAGUUUCUGUCUCAUAGAAGGCACUUAGGCAAAUCCGGGUGCGCAAUUCAAGGGGAUGGGACGAGUGAAUUUAUUCACGAAGCAAUCGGAAGUGGUUCCAAGAAAAGCCUCUAAGCUUCAGUCAUACGAGACCGUACCGCAAACCGACACAGGUGGGCGAGAUGAGUAUUCUAAGGCGCUUGAGAGAACUCGGGAGAAGGAACUCGGCAAAUUGGUACCGUAACUUCGGGAAAAGGUACGCCCCGGUAGCUUGAUUGGUUUACUCCAUGAGGGUGAAAGGGUUGCAAUAAACUGGUGGCUGCGACUGUUUAAUAAAACACAGCACUCUGCAAACACGAAAGUGGACGUAUAGGGUGUGACGCCUGCCCGGUGCUGGAAGAUUAAAUGAUGGGGUGCAAGCUCUUGAUUGAAGUCCCAGUAAACGGCGGCCGUAACUAUAACGGUCCUAAGGUAGCGAAAUUCCUUGUCGGGUAAGUUCCGACCUGCACGAAU